rnacentral:rRNA from 1 species
CAGUCGCCACGGUAAUACGAAGGGUGCAAGCGUUAAUCGGAAUUACUGGGCGUAAAGCGUGCGUAGGCGGUUUGUUAAGUCUGUUGUAAAAUCCCCGGGCUCAACCUGGGAAUGGCAAUGGAUACUGGCAAGCUAGAGUGUGUCAGAGGAUGGUGGAAUUCCCGGUGUAGCGGUGAAAUGCGUAGAGAUCGGGAGGAACAUCAGUGGCGAAGGCGGCUUACUGGCUCAUACUGGACGCUGAGGCACGAAAGCGUGGGGAGCAAACAGGAUUAGAUACCCCUGUAGUCCCUGUCUCUUAUAC